ACACACCCGUCCACUCCCCAAUCCCCCUCCCCCUCUCUCUACCCGAUUGCACCGUUGCCCCCGACCUAAACCUAACUCAACUGCGCCACCGCCCCUGAUCUGCGUGCCGCCGCCCGUCCUCUGGUCCCCUCGUGCCACAUCAUCUCCGACCCUGGCCUCCCUCCCCGCAGGGCACCAUCCGCCCGGGAGCAGCAGCUCCGUCCGCCACGCCGAGGAGCAGCAGCGCCGUCAACCGCCGCUGAGGAUCCACUGCUGAUUUGUCUCCACGUGCGACCUCUGUUUCAUCUGAUUUCCUUCGCUCCGCCCCGCCUACAGAAUUCAAGAUGUAAGCUUCUGGUGGUGGAGGCAAGUCAAGAUUUUACGCCGGUUCUGUUACAGGAACAGAGGAUAGUCCUCCUAAGCCGCUUAAUGAUUAACAUGACAAAUGCAGAUAUUCAAGGUUUAAAGGAUGUGUUGCAAAAUUUGGAAAAACAAUGUCAGAUCGGGGAAGUCAGAUACAAAACUGAAUAUGGAUCCUGAUAGAUAGUUGUGAGAUAUAUCCCUGAAAAUGCCAAGCAACAUGCAACACUAACGAUCAUAUCAGCUAUUGGAUGAGCACGGACAGCUCUCCCCUUGCGCAAGGAUCCUGAUUGUCGAAGUCAAAAAAGAGUGCGGACUGCACAGGAGGGAAUGGUUGUGGCUUUGGCACAUCUAGGAUUAAGCCUAGCUUGCUAGAGGAGAGAGGUUGCUUGGGAAGAGUGGAUUACGGGGAGGGGCAGUGGAGGGAGAGCGAGGGGCGCCGCGAUCGCAUAGAGGGAGUCCAUCACCAUCGAUAUGCUGUUGUAGGCCGAACGAAUGAAGGAAGCUUCACUACUAACAGGCCGUGAAAGCUCUGUGCCAGGGCCCAUUGAAUGAGAGGCCAGCAAAAUAGACUUGAGGAGCAGCAGCCCAGUCACGUGGCCCGCAACCCCCGAUCGUUAAAUCAGGACGGUCAAACACUAAUCCGACGUAACCUGCGCGAGGGUGGUUGUGAGGGCUCGUAGGUAGAGUUGGAAUCCCUCUAGUCCAGCUCCAGGCAGGAGGUCGGUUGGAACUGGAUCAGUAUCGAGAUUAGGAAUCAACCAAGUCGCCCUUUUGAUCAACUACAACAGCAGAACAAACAAUGGUGGGAAAAUGGUAGAAAGUAGCAAGUCCACUAGUUGACCGAAGAUGUUCUUGUGAUUGCUUUUCUUGAUAAUAUGGAUGACACAUUUUGUUCAUAUGGAAGUUGAUUUGGCUUGGCGAUUGAAGAUUCGGUCCCUUGGUCUCUUUUGAACUUUGGCCAUUAUGUUUGUAACAUGCCUCUCUUGUAUAUCCGACUUGUGUAUUUCCAUAAUGGUUGUAGCUAACUUGAGUGAAGAAAACUAUUGAAUCUUAUAUAGAUAUUAAAAUUAAUGCAUUGAUCAAUGAUAUCUUGUGAUGAA